AUGGAUCCAAUAGUCAACCAGGGGUGGACCUCAUCCGAGGUAGAGGAGGCAUACUCACUAAUUGCUAGCCUCAACACCAACAAAAUCAUGUACGAUGACAACGAUGACAAGAACAAGAAGCAACACUACAUCAUGAAUUCUCUCCAUGCAUUGUUCCAUUCAAAGACCAUGAAACAGGUAAUAAAUCUUUAUGUUGAUCUCGCCAUGGACAUGCAUAUGAUCCAGCAGAGGGAGGGGACCAAUGUUACUGGUGGUAGCCCACAAAACAUUUUCACGUUUUGUGACCCUGUCAACGGUAACUGUGAGCUACCGAAGGAGGAGAAUGGUGCUAGCAGCACACACAGUGUCUACACCAUGGGUGACCAUGCGAAUGAAAACUUUGGGGUACGAGAGAAGGAGACAACAAUCAUGGACAAUAACGGAUUGUCCUUUGGUUGUGCAGUGGAGGAUAUGAGGAUCACGGUGACGGGUGAGGCACUGCUGAUGGCAGACAACAACAAGAUGAAGGUGUUGGAGAACAAUAUUUCCAUAGAUCAACCAAUUGUUGCCCCACAUCAAUGGGGUUUUUGGACCGAUGAGGAACACAGCAUGGGCGGCCUUGUUAAUGAAGACAUUGAGGUACAAGAGGGUGAGGAGAUGACCAUGGAUGAUAGUGGAUUUUCAUUUCAUUGUACACUGGAGGAUACAAGAAUCAGGAAGACGGAGGAGGCUCCAGUGAUGGUAGACAAGAACAAAAUGGUGGUCUUGGAGAACAAUAGUUCCAAUGAUCGACCAGUUGUUGCCCCACAUCAACGAAAGUUUUGGACCAAAGAGGAACACAAGUCAUUUCUUUAUGGGCUGGAAGUCUAUGAUCGUGGCGACUGGAAAAACAUAUCCAAGCACUUCGUCACCACUCAGACCCCUGUCCAUGUUUCAAGCCAUGCACAAAAGUUUUUCAAGAGAAUAGAGAAAAAGGCAUCGUCAGGGAUAAAGCGUUACAGCAUCAAUGAUGUCAGGCUCCAUGACAACGAGCUAUUGGCAGCAAAUAAUAGUUCUGCCCCUCGGCAAACCCUUUCUUUCACCAGCCUCAACAAUGACCCAAGCUUUAGGUUGCAGGCUCCGACGAGCUCGUUCGCAGUCAUGAACAACCUAGCUCAGUGCUCCCCUUCCAUAUAUAAUCAACAAGUGGGCCAGCAGCCAAUGUGGCGUGAGCAGCAGAUGAUGGGUUCUACUGCAGCUGUAAUGGGCAGGGUAGGAAACUAUGUGCCUGAUGGCCAACAAGGGUCAGCUUAUUUUUAUCUUGGCAAUGUAUGA
rnacentral:rRNA from 1 species